UUAUAUUGGGCAAAUCAACAUAUGAGUUAAUUCUAUUUACAACUCCUACAAAUAAAGAAAAUGAACGUACAACAUGAUAUGAUGCUCAAGUGUCUAUGAUUCAAGCUAACUCAUUACAUGUGUUUGUCUUUAUGGAAUGAGCAUAAAUGUAAAUGUAUAUACUAGAGUUGUUUCUAGUGUUUGUGAUGAGGAAGGCUAUCUUAUUCUUGAUUGCAGUAUUUCCAGGAAUUGUGUAUAUUACUCUUGAGUAAUUGUCUUAGUUUCCGAUUGUCUUCUAAUUCACUUGAGCUCGUUGAGCAGACUUAGUUGACACGGGAGGGUUUCCCUUUGUCAUGAUUCUUGUGCCC
rnacentral:lncRNA from 1 species